GUCCCUGCAGCGCAAUGGGUAGCGCGUUGGGCUUCUAAUCCAAAGAGCGUGGGUUCGAGUUCCACCUGGGAUU